UAUCCCUACAUAGUAUAAGUCUACCAUCCUGUUCCAAUUUUUAAAAAACACCAAGUAGACUUGGAUGGCGCUGUGGUCGUGAGUGUACUGCCCAUCCUGUAUACGUGUUUUCAUCCCCAAUCACCUUCACAGCGAUAGGAGUGUCACUGCCUCUUCACCUUGACCUUCAGAGGGCUUUGCCUGCUUGAGGACCACACGGAUUUGGCAUCUGACAGGACCACAGUUCCCAGGAGGACCCGGGUUCUGAAAAGGAAACUUCCUGGAGAACAAGUCUCCGGGAUUUGAGAUUGAGCUCCUGAGCCAGGGGAAGGGAGAGAUGAUGCAGCUUCCGUUGUCAGCCUUCGCUUGUAGGCUUGACUACGAAAUCCCUUAACUGAAGCUUAAGAUGAAUGGUAGAUGGCUGUGAGAAUGGAUGAAGCAGUGUGCAUGAGACACUCAGCACGGUGCCUGCCACAUCAUGGAUGGAUGGAUCAGUUAGGGCCUUGUUUUCC